UGCAAGUCGAACGCUUCUUUCCUCCCGAGUGCUUGCACUCAAUUGGAAAGAGGAGUGGCGGACGGGUGAGUAACACGUGGGUAACCUACCCAUCAGAGGGGGAUAACACUUGGAAACAGGUGCUAAUACCGCAUAACAGUUUAUGCCGCAUGGCAUAAGAGUGAAAGGCGCUUUCGGGUGUCGCUGAUGGAUGGACCCGCGGUGCAUUAGCUAGUUGGUGAGGUAACGGCUCACCAAGGCCACGAUGCAUAGCCGACCUGAGAGGGUGAUCGGCCACACUGGGACUGAGACACGGCCCAGACUCCUACGGGAGGCAGCAGUAGGGAAUCUUCGGCAAUGGACGAAAGUCUGACCGAGCAACGCCGCGUGAGUGAAGAAGGUUUUCGGAUCGUAAAACUCUGUUGUUAGAGAAGAACAAGGACGUUAGUAACUGAACGUCCCCUGACGGUAUCUAACCAGAAAGCCACGGCUAACUACGUGCCAGCAGCCGCGGUAAUACGUAGGUGGCAAGCGUUGUCCGGAUUUAUUGGGCGUAAAGCGAGCGCAGGCGGUUUCUUAAGUCUGAUGUGAAAGCCCCCGGCUCAACCGGGGAGGGUCAUUGGAAACUGGGAGACUUGAGUGCAGAAGAGGAGAGUGGAAUUCCAUGUGUAGCGGUGAAAUGCGUAGAUAUAUGGAGGAACACCAGUGGCGAAGGCGGCUCUCUGGUCUGUAACUGACGCUGAGGCUCGAAAGCGUGGGGAGCAAACAGGAUUAGAUACCCUGGUAGUCCACGCCGUAAACGAUGAGUGCUAAGUGUUGGAGGGUUUCCGCCCUUCAGUGCUGCAGCAAACGCAUUAAGCACUCCGCCUGGGGAGUACGACCGCAAGGUUGAAACUCAAAGGAAUUGACGGGGGCCCGCACAAGCGGUGGGAGCAUGUGGUUUAAUUCGAAGCAACGCGAAGAACCUUACCAGGUCUUGACAUCCUUUGACACUCUAGAGA
rnacentral:rRNA from 1 species